rnacentral:tRNA from 1 species
GGGGAUAUAGCUCAGUAGUAGAGUAUACACACUUUGAAUGUAUGAGGUCUUGGGUCCCAUUCCUAGUACCCCUC